rnacentral:snoRNA from 1 species
CCUCUAGAAGAUGAAGAACUGGUGGAAUAUAUUCUCACCGGGCUAGAUGAAGAAUAUGACUCGGUGGUUUCCUUGGUCUUGCUCGAUCUGAGUUAGUUUCUAUAAGCGAGCUGUACUCCCAGCUGCUCACGUUUGAGA